rnacentral:rRNA from 1 species
GACAGAGGUCCCGAGCGUUAGGCGGAAUCACUGGGCUUAAAGCGUGUGUAGGCGGAUUGGUAAGUACCUUGUGAAAUCCCACGGCUUAACCGUGGAACUGCUGGGUAUACUGCUUAUCUUGGGCCACUUAGGGGCUACCGGAACAAACGGUGGAGCGGUGAAAUGCGUAGAUAUCGUUUGGAACGCCAAUGGUGAAAACAGGUAGCUGGGAGUGUGCCGACGCUGAGACACGAAAGCCAGGGGAGCGAACGGG